rnacentral:snRNA from 1 species
UUCUAUUUUACAGAUAUUGUGCU